rnacentral:lncRNA from 1 species
AUAAACAAGAAUGUGUCCAAAGUACACGAAUGCCCCACUCGCACUAUCAUUUUCCAUGUUCAAUGGACCGUGAAAUUGGAUAAAAAAUAUAAUUAGGCAUUAAAAUUAGAAAGAUAAUGCCAUAAGGAACAUGUGUACUAAGUUUCAAGUUGAUUGGACUUCAACUUCAUCAAAAACUACCUUGACCAAAAACUUUAACCUGAAGCGGGACAGACGGGUGAACGAGCGGACAGACAGACAGACAGAAGGACGAACGGACGCACAGACCAGAAAACAUAAUGCCCCUCUACUAUCGUAGGUGGGGCAUA